UACGUAGGGUGCGAGCGUUAAUCGGAAUUAUUGGGGCGUAAAAGAGCUCGUAGGCGGUCUGUCACGUCGGCUGUGAAAACCCGGGGCUCAACCCCGGGCCUGCAGUCGAUACGGGCAGACUAGAGUGCGGUAGGGGAGACUGGAAUUCCUGGUGUAGCGGUGAAAUGCGCAGAUAUCAGGAGGAACACCGGUGGCGAAGGCGGGUCUCUGGGCCGUAACUGACGCUGAGGAGCGAAAGCGUGGGGAGCGAACAGG
rnacentral:rRNA from 1 species